UGUCCCCAUGGGUACCGCCUCCACGUGGCGGGGACGGUAACUUACCCUUAAGGGUAAGGCUAAGCGUACC
rnacentral:ribozyme from 1 species